AAUUCUGCACAACUUAGAGAUGGAGAACACUGAGAUCCAUGAGAACAACCAUAAGCUGAAGAAGGAGAUUACCUUCUCUAGGUCUCAGAAAGUGCAAGAGAGCUGGAAUUGGACACACACCAGUAAGAGAGCUUCCUGAAGAAUAAGUUGCUUUCUCAGGAGUCCCUGAUGACAAACAUCCUGAAUGAAAACAGCACUUGAGAGACAACUUGGGGGACCGCCUUUCAUUAUGUGUGCAAGAGGAGAAACAGCAAUACAUCUGUGCUUCUAAAUGUUCGUUAAGAAUGUGCUGUUUAGAAAUAUUUUUGUUAUGAUUUUAAUUGAAAUUUUCUUUUUGUUGUUUCAUAUUUAUAUGUUCUUGUUACUGUUUUUCACUUUUCAAAUAUUUUAAAUAUUUUAAUUUAUUCGUUUUAAUUCCGUU
rnacentral:lncRNA from 1 species